CAUUUGAGCGGCAAAAUGAAGGUGUUCCUCUGUGUAUUUGCACUUGUAUCCUGUGUCUUUUAUGUGACACAUGGUCAAAGUUUAGUCAAAGGUUUGUAAACAUAAAUUAUGUUUUAAUAUUUAAGUUGAAUUUUGUUGAAAUUUGCACAGCUAUAUGUCGUCAGGGCACUGGUUCAAAGUGCCUGAAAAAUGACACCUACACUUGGAGCAAGAGCAUGAGGAAGUGUCGGUCAGUGCGACUGAAAUCCGCUCCCUGCGGAUUCUUCAACAUUCUGGAAAGAUGCAAUGAAGUCUGCUCUCGCCAGUCCAUGUCAAAUGACGAGUUGAGUGUUUUUAUUCAAAAGUACGGGGAAUAGUGUUACCGAUGGGGAAAAUAUAACUGGUUCAGGCUCUAACAA
rnacentral:lncRNA from 1 species